ACAAAUCUUUUGAAUAUUUCAUCAAAUCCAAAGAAAUAUUUAAAAGCUGCAGAAAAUCCAACUGGAGUUACUGCAGCUGAUUUGCUGAAACAGGGCUUGUCAAAUCCAUCCGAGUUCAACAAAUAUAGAAAUGAAAUCAUUAAACAACUGAAGACAAUAUUUAAAACUAACCUGGACGGAUCUUUAAUAAACUCUGGUUACAAAGCAACAGUUUAAACACAGAAAAUAAACAGAAUCAAAAUUUGAAUUAAUAUAUUUCUUGUCAUUUGAAACUAUAUGUAAAUAUUCAUUUGUAUAAUAAAAAUCAGAAUAUGCAUA